ACCUAGCCUAAGGUGUGAAUGACGGU
rnacentral:piRNA from 1 species